AUCAUGGCGCUACGGGGAGAGUCGAUGAUUUACGGCUUUGGAGGGCGUGCAUGUGUAUGAUUAAGGGAUGUCCUUUGUCAAGACUCACAGUCAAAACAGGAAGAUAAAAAAGACAGUUUGAAGCGUGAGGAUGCAACUUUUGAUCCUUUCUGGACGUCUUAAGUGCAAGCAAGAGCGUCUUCCUAAGUUUCCUGUUUGUUUUUUUUCCAAGGAGCUGUCCAUGACAAAGAUACAGUCAUCUCCUGGAGUCACCGUAUUCUCUCUGGAGGCAUAGAUCCUGACUUGAAAGUUGCUGAUAAAAAUUUUUUUGGAUGCCAACUCUACCAACUUGAGGUCAAAAGAUAAUUUUAUUCACUUAAAUAUAGUUACUGAGGCAUGGAGAAAAUGCUA